GGAAGAGUGGGCAACGCACAUCAUGACAGUCGAGCGGACUUGAUGAGAAGCUUGCUUCUCUGAUGGUUAGCGGCGGACGGGUGAGUAACACGUAGGCAACCUGCCCUCAAGCUUGGGACAACUACCGGAAACGGUAGCUAAUACCGAAUACUUGCUUUCUUCGCCUGAAGGAAGCUGGAAAGACGGAGCAAUCUGUCACUUGAGGAUGGGCCUGCGGCGCAUUAGCUAGUUGGUGAGGUAACGGCUCACCAAGGCGACGAUGCGUAGCCGACCUGAGAGGGUGAUCGGCCACACUGGGACUGAGACACGGCCCAGACUCCUACGGGAGGCAGCAGUAGGGAAUCUUCCGCAAUGGGCGAAAGCCUGACGGAGCAAUGCCGCGUGAGUGAUGAAGGUUUUCGGAUCGUAAAGCUCUGUUGCCAGGGAAGAACGUCCUUGAGAGUAACUGCUCAAGGAGUGACGGAACCGGAGAAGAAAGCCCCGGCUAACUACGUGCCAGCAGCCGCGGUAAUACUUAGGGGGCAACCGUUUGUCCAAAAUUAUUUGCGCCGUUGGGCGCGGGCGGGGCCGGCCAUUUUAGUUUUGGGUGUUUAAUUUUUGGGGCCUCCUCCCC
rnacentral:rRNA from 1 species